rnacentral:rRNA from 1 species
AACGAACGCUGGCGGCAUGCCUAACACAUGCAAGUCGAACGAGACCUUCGGGUCUAGUGGCGCACGGGUGCGUAACGCGUGGGAACCUGCCCUUAGGUUCGGAAUAAUUCCCCGAAAGGGGUGCUAAUACCGGAUAAUGUCUUCGGACCAAAGAUUUAUCGCCUUUGGAUGGGCCCGCGUUGGUUUAGCUUGUUGGUAGGGUAAAAGCCUACCAAGGCGACGAUCCAUAGCUGGUCUGAGAGGAUGAUCAGCCACACUGGGACUGAGACACGGCCCAGACUCCUGCGAGAGGCCGCAGUGGGGAAUAUUGGACACUGGGCGAGAGCCUGAUCCAGCAAGGCCGCGUGAGUGAUGAAGGCCUUAGGGUUGUAAAGCUCUUUUACCCGGGAUGAUAAUGACAGUACCGGGAGAAUAGGCACCGGCUAACUCCGU